UACGUAGGGUGCGAGCGUUAAUCGGAAUUACUGGGCGUAAAGCGUGCGCAGGCGGUUAUGUAAGACAGUUGUGAAAAUCCCCGGGCUCAACCUGGGAAUUGCAUCUGUGACUGCAUAGCUAGAGUACGGUAGAGGGGGGAUGGAAUUCCGCGUGUAGCAGUGAAAAUGCGUAGAUAUGCGGAGGAACACCGAUGGCGAAGGCAAUCCCCCUGGACCUGUACUGACGCUCAUGCAC
rnacentral:rRNA from 1 species